rnacentral:rRNA from 1 species
UUCCGGUUGAUCCUGCCGGACCUGACUGCUAUCGGAUUGGUACUAAGCCAUGUGAGUCGUUGCAGCAAUGCAAGGCAGACGGCUCAGUAACACGUAGUCAACCUAACCUAUGGACGGGGAUAACCUCGGGAAACUGAGAAUAAUACCCGAUAGAUCAUGAUACCUGGAACGGUUUAUGGUUCAAAUGAUUUAUCGCCAUAGGAUGGGACUGCGGUCUAUCAGCUUGUUGGUGAGGUAAUGGCCCACCAAGGCUAUAACAGAUACGGGCCCUGAGAGGAGGGGCCCGGAGAUGGGUACUGAGACACGGACCCAGGUCCUAUGGGGCGCAGCAGGCGAGAAACCUUUGCAAUGUGCGAAAGCACGACAAGGUUAAUCCGAGUGAUUUCUGCUAAAGAAAUCUUUUGUUAGUCAUAAAACCACUGAUGAAUAAGGGGUGGGCAAGUUCUGGUGUCAGCCGCCGCGGUAAUACCAGCACCUCGAGUGGUCAGGAGGUUUAUUGGGCCUAAAGCAUCCGUAGCCGGCUGUUCAAGUUUCCGGUUAAAUCCACACGCUUAACGUAUGGGCUGCCGGAAAUACUGUUCAGCUAGGGAGUGGGAGAGGUAGACGGUACUCGAUAGGAAGGGGUAAAAUCCUUUGAUCUAUUGAUGACCACCUGUGGCGAAGGCGGUCUACCAGAACACGUUCGACGGUGAGGGAUGAAAGCUGGGGGAGCAAACCGGAUUAGAUACCCGGGUAGUCCCAGCUGUAAACGAUGCAGACUCGGUGAUGCAUUGGCUUGUGGCCAGUGCAGUGCCGCAGGGAAGCCGUUAAGUUUGCCGCCUGGGAAGUACGUACGCAAGUAUGAAACUUAAAGGAAUUGGCGGGGGAGCACCACAAGGGGUGAAGCCUGCGGUUCAAUUGGAUUCAACGCCGGG